rnacentral:rRNA from 1 species
UACGUAGGGAGCAAGCGUUGUCCGGAAUCAUUGGGCGUAAAGCGCGUGUAGGCGGUCCGGUAAGUCCGCUGUGAAAGUCGGGGGCUCAACCCUCGGAUGCCGGUGGAUACUGUCGGGCUUGAGUACGGAAGAGGCGAGUGGAAUUCCUGGUGUAGCGGUGAAAUGCGCAGAUAUCAGGAGGAACACCGAUGGCGAAGGCAGGUCUCUGGGCCACUACUGACGCUGAGGAGCGAAAGCGUGGGGAGCGAACAGG